UGACCGCUGGCGGCGUGCCUACUACAUGCAAGUCGAGCGAACGGACGAGAAGCUUGCUUCUCUGAUGUUAGCGGCGGACGGGUAAGUAACACGUGGAUAACCUACCUAUAAGACUGGGAUAACUUCGGGAAACCGGAGCUAAUACCGGAUAAUAUUUUGAACCGCAUGGUUCAAAAGUGAAAGACGGUCUUGCUGUCACUUAUAGAUGGAUCCGCGCUGCAUUAGCUAGUUGGUAAGGUAACGGCUUACCAAGGCAACGAUGCAUAGCCGACCUGAGAGGGUGAUCGGCCACACUGGAACUGAGACACGGUCCAGACUCCUACGGGAGGCAGCAGUAGGGAAUCUUCCGCAAUGGGCGAAAGCCUGACGGAGCAACGCCGCGUGAGUGAUGAAGGUCUUCGGAUCGUAAAACUCUGUUAUUAGGGAAGAACAUAUGUGUAAGUAACUGUGCACAUCUUGACGGUACCUAAUCAGAAAGCCACGGCUAACUACGUG
rnacentral:rRNA from 1 species